GAGAAUGUGUAGGAAAAAAUUCCACCAUUGUGUCCCCACAGGGUACCCCCGUGGGAACUAUCGAACAGCGUUUCGACGGUGCUCAGGGCUGCCCCGCUGCCUCUCGCAGCUUGUCUCGGUAACAUCCUGGAAAGCCACUUAAGUGCAAUCAUCUCCUUCCAUAGUGUGGUGACUAGAACUGCACGCAGUCUUCUAUUUGUGGCCGAACUGAAGUUUUAGAAUGCUGUUCUUCUUGCUCUUAUAUUCCGUCAAGCGCUGGAGGAAGUCAGCAUGUCAGAAACAAGAUCUGUCCAACCAGAGCAAAGAGCAUACUGGAAGCUUGCAAUUAAGCUCAGAGUCAUAGAAUCAGAACACUACAGCACAGAAACAGGCCCUUCAGCCCAUCUAGUCCAUACCGACUAUUAAUCUGCCUAAUCCCAUUGAUCUGCACUCGGACCAUAGCCCUCUAUAACCUUCCCAUCCAUGUCCAUAUCCAAAUUUCUCUUAAAGGAAGGAGAAGAUGGCGACGAGACACAGCUUGCAGCAGCCACUCUGGUGAAUGAUAUCUGUUAUCUGUCAAGUAGGGUGCCGUGCACAAUCCUGAUUUGAUGGAGACAGACGUGAGAGCACGAAGGAACAUCUGGAGAAACUUCUGAAAUGCCUGUUUCGAUGCUGCUGCUACUGUGUGAUCCAGAAUCUCUGGAGGGGAAGGCCCCGAGUCCUCGGCUUUGUUUGUUGCUCAGUGGCUAGGGCGGGGUCAAAGCGCUCGGCAGAGAUGGUGCUCAGUGCUUGGUGUCGGAGGGCUGGUCGGAGGCUCAAAGUUUUCGACGGACUCAGAGACGGCUGCAGUCGGGUGCUUCCAAUGCAUUGGCAAAUUUGCGGCGCUUCCGUCUGCGUGAGAUGAUGUGGCUAUCAGGACUUGAGACUUUUUUACCGUGCCCAUGGUCUGCUCUUUAUCAAAUUACGGUAUUGCUUUGCACUGUUGUAACUAUAUGUUAUAAUUAUGUGGUUUUGUCAGUUUUAGUCUUGGUUUGUCCUGUGUUUCUGUGAUAUCUUUCUGGAGGUACAUUGUAUCAUUUUUUAAUGCAUGCAUUUCUAAAU